UCCAUCAAAGUGAGUUUUUCAGAUCAACUUGGAAAUGCUAAAUAUUUUAUCUAUCCCAUGGAGAGUCAGAAAGCUUAGAAGAGAAGUCCUGCAGCAAAUAAAUCUGCUUCAUUUUGUUUAAUAAUUGAUCAUAUUAAAGAUUUUCUUACUGUAAAAUUUACCAUCUCAAGGACAUUUUUAUGCCUAGCCAGGUCUAGGGAGGGCAAAUGAUUUUAUUUUCAUAAACAAAUGGAGAUGUCAGAUGACUGGUCGAAAUUCGUAUCACUGGGUGCCCCAGAAAUCCAGGCUAUUAUCUGGGGCAUGUGGAGCUACAUCAGCACAGACAGAGAGUCAUGAAAGAAAUGUGAAAAGGCUUCUGAGCCUUGCUGAAAGACAGUUGAUAGAAUAAAUCUUUUCAAAAGAAUACUAAGUUAAGAGUCAGGACAUAUGGGCUUAAUUACUUGGCUCCACCACUGGCUGGCUGGUGUUGGUUCCUUUGAACUGGGUGAGAAUCCGUUUAGGACAUCCAGCAGCCUGUUGCUUCUUCCGAUAACAGAUAGAAUCUCGUAUGUGAGGACUCAUGGGCUUGUGGCUGAACAGAACUGACUCUACUUCCCUUUGUUCUCUCCCCCUCACUACAAGGAUGGCAGUGACCGAAGACACCCUUCUUCCUGCAUCCAAGCCCAGUCACUGAGAUUCAUUCAGGGACAAACACAUGGCCCAAACUGGGCCAGAGUUCACCCAGGAAGACAGUUUCUUUCUGCUACAGUCGUUAAGCUGACAGGGUAAGAGGGCCAUGUGCCAAAGAAUGUGGAUGGCCUCCAUAAGCUGAAGAGAAGGAAAUGGAUUCUUCCUUAGAGCUUCCAGAAAAGAAAACAAUCUUGCCAAUACCCUGAUUUUAGCCCACUGAGGCCCAUUUUGGACUUCAAAACUAUAAGAUAAAGCUACCAUUGACUCAACUGACAGGAAACCAGAAGUUAUGGCAGCCCUGUUGAUGUUGUCCAUAUAAAUCAGUCUGCAGCAGAAGAAAGCAAGGUGGAGGAGGGCUUGGAGUAGAACAGUAUGGGGCAAAUGGAAGAUACCCAGCACUGAUCAUCCGCCAAUGUUCAGACAAGAUUUUAGAGUUUGACUCACCCCAAGCUUCAUUAACAGCCUCUAUUGCAAGACAUAGCAUCGUCCCAUUUUCUUUAAGCUCAACAAGCUCACAUAAACCAUGGUUUCUCCUAAGAGAAUGCUUCUUGAACCUUUUUGACGGAACUCUUAGUCGUAGAGGGGAAUCAACUAUUUAACCAUCAGGAAAUCUGGGAGCAUAGCUUACAAUUUACUGUGCAUAUGAAAUUUCUUCCAAGUUUCUUUUGGUUUGUUUCAGCUAAAUAAUUGAUAUGAGUUUUGAAUUG